GGCUGCCUGAGGAUGCAUCGCCUCUUGUUUCAGACAUCUCAGGGGUGCUGGGAACCUGCCUUGCUGUGCCUGUGCCACCCUGCUGGGCUCUGGACCUGACACCUCUGUGCCCUUUUCUGUCAGGAUGGCCCAAGCAGGGGCACCCGUCCGCUUCCAUACCGAAGACGGCUGCGCUGCCUCUCCCCCACCCUUUGCCCACAGGGUGAACCGGAGGCCCUGGCUGGUGGGGGACAGCCCCGAGGCUGGGCGGUGCAGCCCCCCGCCCUGCCUCACCCCCAACCUCAACGCCGGCCGCCUCCACCUGCUGCGCAAGGGCCUGGCGCCCGAUGCUCACCGCUGCCCCCUCGGCCUCUACAACAGCACCGGCUCCUUGGCCCGCAGGCCGGCCGAGGCAGCGCCCUUCGGCAGCGGGAGCUGCCCAGGCGCGGGGCGACUGACCGCCCCCUGCACCCCACGGCGGGGUCGGCCCAGCCCGGCUGUCGCCUCUCUGAGCAGCCGCAGUCCACCGGUGGCGGCGACCCCGGAGGGACACAGCUCCGUGGUCACCUUCCGCUUCAUUGAGAAGGCCAGCGUGCGCACCGUGGGUUGCCCGACAACCCCCCAUCUCCGCUGGGAGAAUGGCCCCUACAGCCUCAGCCGCAGUCUGGAGCUCGGGGGGGAUGUGGGAUCCCCCCAGCCCCAGCCCCUGCCUCAGGAGCGGCUCCUGCACACGCUGAAGCUGGAGGCCUCUGCAUCUGACCCACUCCUGGCCGGGGGCAGGACCCCUGGGGAGACACGUCCCUGUGGGAAGGAGCUCUGUGCCCUCGACACCAGCUGCCUCUGCCGAUCCCUAACCAAUGGGCUGCCAGAGGAGUUCCCCACCUUCGCCAGGAGUCCCCUGAAGCCAGAGCCCCGACAUCAGGUAGGUACCAGGGUCUCCUACACUGGACGUGGGCUCUGCCCUGGGUAUGCAUUGCCUGCUCAUUGCUCUCCUCUCUGCAGGGCGGCACCUGGCUGUACCCCCGACAGAGCUCCGCCCAUGCCCAGCGUAUUGCCAAGGCCAAGUGGGAAUUCUUCUAUGGCUCCUCAGAUACCCCAAAGACAGGCUCCUCUGCCCCCGACUCCGCUCCCCUGGCUGAGCUCCCCCAGAAGCCUGUCUCCCCACUGCCAACCGAGCCACCAGGGUUGCUACCUGAACACAACCUGA
rnacentral:lncRNA from 13 species